rnacentral:tRNA from 2 species
GCAUUGGUGGUUCAGUGGUAGAAUUCUCGCCUGCCACGCGGGAGACCUGGGUCCGAUUCCCGGCCAACGCA